AAAUCAAGUGUAAAGAGCAAUGAAUUUUAAUCCUAGCUUCUCGGCAUAUAAGGACACUAAGGCUCUAGGUCACCCUUAAUUUUGACAAGCCCAGUUCUCUGCUUCUGUCUGAUGUUAUUUAUCCUGUAUCCCACUGUACAUAUGCUGUGUUUCUCUUAAAGACCUCAGAGAGCAGAAUCUAUCCAAGUGGUAAAAAUACUGGCAGCCAAGAAUAGGUCUACCUACCACCUUGUAGUUUACAUAAAAAGGAGAAGAAAGGAAGCCAAAUGACUGUAAGUUUCUUGCAUAAUCCACACCAGAAAGCAUUGCCUACAGACUGUCACCACCCACUAUUGACUCUGUUGCUUCAUGAUGAAUGCUGGACGAAACAUCUUCAAAUUCCACCUGAUUUAUGUACGGUGUCAACAUGACUUAAGGCCCUGUGCUGAGCACCGGAGGUAUAAAAAGAGAGUGAACAAUCCAAACAACCCUAGAGCAGAGACAAGUGUGUGACUCAUUACAAUGUAGUCUAAAGACCUUAUGGGAUCACCCACGGCGCUGUGAAACUGGAGGAAGAAGCAGCAUUCAAGUGAAUGAACGUGUAUUUGGACUGAGGGAAGGAAAUACUCUUCAAGAGAGAUUUAAAAGGUUCCUACAGGGAUGGUCAUAAAGGAUAGCCAAGGCCUUAUCCAGGUGAGAAAUUUCUAAAGGCACAGCAAAACCUGGAGGCAUCAGAGAGCAGAGCACAGGUGCAGAACACAGGACCCCACGUGGCUGAAGCAAAGCCUGUGUUUUUCAGAUCUUACAUAAGAAACCUUUGCUGGCCAGAGACGAUGGCUCAUGCUAGUAAUCUCAGCACUUUGGGAGGCUAAGACAGGAGGAUCACUUGAGUUCAGGAGCUCGAGACCAGCCUGGGCAAGAUGAAUCAAGGUCUCAUUAUGUUGCCCAGGCUGGUCUCGAAUUCCUGGGCUCAAGUGAUCCUCCUGCCUUGGCCUCCCAAACUGCUGGAAUUACAGGCUUAUAAAAGUUGUUCAUAUCAAAGGCACCCACCCACUGAUGUGCCAGGUCCAGAAUGCACUGCCGUGUCACUCCUGGAAGAAUGAUGCCAUCUAGCGGAGGAGUUGCCAGUUCUUCUUCUGUCAAUCAGAAAUUGGGAUAUUUUCAAACUUUCACUAUAUUAGGCAUGCUUUAUUAUCAACAGCCAUUCUUUGAAAACCAUUAUAAUUUUGCUAGUAACAAACAUAAAGAAAAUGUUACUGUUCUGCAUGGUCAAAGUUCCCAAAUCUCCCAAAUCACAUUUCAGGUAGACUCAUCAAAAAAAGAAAGAAAGAAAGAAAGAAAGCCACUUAGCUAAUCAUCUUCAGUUUACCCUUAACCAGUAAAAUAAUGAGACGGUUUCCCACCAACAAACAGUAAGAGUUAUUGCAUGGUCUUAAGAGGACCAAUCUGAAGUGAAAUUUUACCUUAGCAGAUGAAAGGUGGUUAGUAAUUAGAAUAAUGUAGAUAGGAUCUUAUUCAAAAAAACUGGUCAUUACCAAACCUUCUAAGAAUGCUAUGGAGGAGGCUGUUGCCAUGAAGUGUACAUGCCUACUCAGUCUGGUCACUGCUUCCAUGCUCCCCUUUGAGAGUCCACUUUUUUUUUUUUUUUAAGAUGGAGUUUCAUUCUUGUUGUCCAGGCUGGGGCGCAGUGGCCCGAUCUCAGCUCACAGCAACCUCUGCCUCCCAGGUUCAAGCAAUUCUCCUGCCUCAGACUCCCAAGUAACUGGGAUUACAGGCAUGCACCACCACGCCCAGCUAAUUUUUGUAUUUUUAGUAGAGACAGGGUUUCACUAUGUUGGCCAGGCUGUUCUCAAACUCCGGACCUCAGAUGAUCCACCCACCUCAGCCUCCCAAAGUGCUGGGAUUACAGGCAUGAGCCACUGUGCCCAGCCUGAGAGUCUGCCUUCGGUGGUUUUCAAAGCAUCAGCAUCAAGUAUAUGGAGAUGCUGCCUUCCCACUCUGAGAUUCAAAUGUAAUGGGCUCAGAGUGAGCUCAAGCAUGCAUACAGCUAAGAAAGAAGACAUUUAAAACCAAAACUCCAAGGCUGAGCUACUGGUCUACUGUGAGAUGACUGCAGGCAUCCCUAACUACUGCGAGGUCUAGUGGGACAACUGUUCACAGGCAUCAUGUGUGGUCUAUCAGCUGCACAACUCUCUUUACAGUACCCUGUGGCACUCAGCAUCUCCCUCUCCUCUCCACCUCUGACACCCAGGAGUCUGAAUCUAGUGAAUCUUGACACUGAAGCCACCACCCUCUUUCUCAAUACACAGUGGCUCUAGGCUCACCUGCUCCACUGGGGUUACAUCUGACAUGCCCAACGAUCAAGCUCUAUCUGAAAUACCAAACUCAUCUUCAUCCUUCUAUCCCCAGAACUGGGCAUUGUGCCUGGCCCAGAGUAUAUAUAAUAAAUGCUUUUGAAUAAAAAAUAAAUGAAUAAGUUAUCUUUGUUAAGAUACAGCAGUAUGGCUUUUUUGAAUUUUGUUUCUGAAAAUCAUCUGCUGAAAAUUGCUUUCUGGAAAGGAGAAAAUUUGUUCUUGGCAAUGUUCUUAGGGCUACUCUUUGUCGUGUUUAGAAGUGUUGAUGAUCUCAAAAUAAACAUGUGUUUUGCAAUAGCUAGCUAACUAGACACAUAAAUGUACGGAUCUAUUUGUGUGCGCACACACACACAUUUCCAGUGCCCCCAAACUGGACCUUUCCUAAAGCUUGCUGAGUUCUGAGAUGACAUCACGUUAAAUGAAAACAGCAGCCCCGCAUGGGCAAGUGCUGUUUUGUGAAAUAUAUUUAACACCCAUAUCUGUAACCACUAGCCUGAGGUCAAGGAACAGAACAUCUGCUUCUCUGGUUGCCAGACAGAGAUGAUGACAUGACAACAUUUGGGUGAGAAAUAUUCAUUUUCCUCUGCAACCACAAACAUACUUACAAGAGCCAGAACUCACUCCAGAUUGCCCAACAUGAGGAAAACACAACCUACAAAUGCAGCUUGUUUUUGACAAAGAAAUCAUUUUUAGGAGAUGGGGAAUUUAGAAGCAAUAACAGCAGGAUUCAUCUGUGACUUCCCAAAGUCAAACACUAAUGGAAACCAGGAAAGCAGGUCUGUGUAAGUGCCCUAAAUACCAUCAGCACAAUUAGCCAUUUAUUCUACAAAUACAUAUUGAGUGCUGUUUACUGUUUUAAGCUCUAUGAAUAGAGCAGUGAACAAAAAUGACAUAACUCCCUGCUUACUUUCUAAUAGGCACACGUAAACAUUUAUUGUGUUGACAGUAUGUUAGACUAUGGAAGGAGAAAAAAAAAAAGGAAGGAAAAGCAAUGGAGAGUGCUGGGGAGUAACAGGAAAGGGAGUUUAUGAUUUUGAUUAACGGCUCAAGGAAAGCCAGAUGGAUAAUGGGAUUUGUAAGCAAGGAUAUGGAGUAUAUGAAAAAGCAAGCGGUGUAGACAUCUGAGGAAGAAUGCUCCAAGUCGAGUCAGUAUAAACACCUGACGUGUCUGAGAAGACUCAAGAUGUGACCUGAGCAAAACCGAUACUCACUGCCGUGGUCGUUAUCCCAAAGUGACUGUGAACUCAACUGCAAGGACUGGGUCUUAUUUUUCAGGGUAUCUCCAGGGUCCAGGAUAUGAUACAAUGCUUUGUUCAAACAGUGAAUAGCAAGUGUAUGGGUUAAAUUACUCAUCAACAGAGUGAUAGUGUAUGAUCUUACCACCAUGGGUGCUGUUACUGAAAUCAAAACUCCCUUGAGUUACAAGCUGAGUGCCACACACAGUGACUGUGCACAGCACUAUGCUUUGAACGCACACUAUCCACCACCCCGUCCACCUUCCUACACCAGCCAUCUCAACCAACAGGGGCAGUGUGUGUGUGGGCACUCAUGACAAGACGGCAGGCUAUUACUGAAAGAACUCUGCUUAUACCUCCCAUCAGUAAAGUUUGUGAAAAUCAAUAUUUUGCUGAUUUAUUCAUUGUUCAUUGUAUUUUCCUAAAGCCAAAACCAAAACUACUACAGAAUUGCUUCAAUGUCUUUUUUUAGCCCAAAGCUUUUUCUUAGCAUUCUAUUUACUUCAAAUAUUUAUUCUAUUUCCUUUCUUUCUCCUUAUUCUGAAUAUUAUUUGUUCUGUUAGAUGAACAUCCCCAAAGUGAAGGAACAUGUUAGAACUAAAGUUAUCUCAGGAAACCAUAAUCUGCAUAGUAACACUCUUAAGGUCUUGUAUAUUUUGCAAGAGGCAGAAGACAAAUUCACUUAUUUCUAUUCUGACCUUUAAAAGCCACGGUGGAAAUGUUUCAUGAUUGUUGUUUGGAUAAAGGACAAUUUUCCACCAGGAUGGUUUCUGGUUAAAUCAUGUAUCUCUGAUUCAGACUGUACUUAAAUUCUGACAUCUCCCAUCCAUAAAAAUAAUGAUGGUACCACCUCUGAAUGAUGUAACUGUUUUUGUUUCAAAUUGUGUGGGUUUUUUGGUGGAGUCUGGAGUAGGGGUAAGAGUGGGAAGAUAGGAAGAAGAGUUUAAUCGGCCUAUUAUCUUCUAAGUGCAGAGGUCAACACUCACU